GAUGAACGCUGGCGGCGUGCCUAAUACAUGCAAGUCGAGCGAACGGACGAGAAGCUUGCUUCUCUGAUGUUAGCGGCGGACGGGUGAGUAACACGUGGAUAACCUACCUAUAAGACUGGGAUAACUUCGGGAAACCGGAGCUAAUACCGGAUAAUAUUUUGAACCGCAUGGUUCAAAAGUGAAAGACGGUCUUGCUGUCACUUAUAGAUGGAUCCGCGCUGCAUUAGCUAGUUGGUAAGGUAACGGCUUACCAAGGCAACGAUGCAUAGCCGACCUGAGAGGGUGAUCGGCCACACUGGAACUGAGACACGGUCCAGACUCCUACGGGAGGCAGCAGUAGGGAAUCUUCCGCAAUGGGCGAAAGCCUGACGGAGCAACGCCGCGUGAGUGAUGAAGGUCUUCGGAUUGUAAAACUCUGUUAUUAGGGAAGAACAGAUGUGUAAGUAACUGUGCACAUCUUGACGGUACCUAAUCAGAAAGCCACGGCUAACUACGUG
rnacentral:rRNA from 1 species